GGGUCCCCGCACAAGCAGCGGAGCGUGUGGUUUAAUUCGUUGCUACACGAAGAACCUUACCUGGGUUUGACAUAGCAGUGGUAGGGAAGAGAAAUCGGACCGACCCUUCGGGGAGCUGUUACAGGUGUUGCAUGGCUGUCGUCAGCUCGUGUCGUGAGAUGUUCGGUUAAGUCCGCUAAACGAGCGCAACCCGCGUUGUGUGUUAUAUGUGUCACACAAUACCGCCGGUAUUAAGCCGGAGGAAGGUGCGGAUGACGUCAAGUCAGCAUGACCUUUAUAUCCAGGGCUACACACACGCUACAAUGGACAGUACAACAGGUUGCCAAGCCGCGAGGCGGAGCCAAUCCUCUAAAGCUGUCCUCAGUUCAGAUUGCAGGCUGCAACUCGCCUGCAUGAAGUUGGAGUUGCUAGUAACCGCAGGUCAGCUAUACUGCGGUGAAUACGUUCCCGGGGAUU
rnacentral:rRNA from 1 species